AGUCACUGACAUUAGAUACCCCGGUAGUCCCAGCCGUAAACAAUGUGCGUUAGGUGUGUCGGUAACCACGCGUUACUGAUGCGCCGAAGAGAAAUCGUGAAACGCACCACCUGGGAAGUACGGUCGCAAGGCUGAAACUUAAAGGAAUUGGCGGGGGAGCACCACAACAGGUGGAGCCUGCGGUUUAAUUGGAUUCAACGCCGGACAUCUCACCGGAUAAGACAGCUGAAUGAUUGUCAAUCUGAAGGUUUCACAUGACUAGCUG
rnacentral:rRNA from 1 species